UCAAGUGAGAUCAAGAGCAGGACUGAGGAUCUAAACAUGAAAUGUAAGCAUAUAAUGACGUGCAAGGCUUCUCAUCCGGAUUCGGAGAACAAGGGCUGGGACCAGCAAGUAUAGGUUAAAUGCAUAGGAAACCUCCUUGCAAAAGUUUACACUUCACACUGACAGUAAUUAGAAAAGCACACUGAUCACAAUUAAGUUUGACCCUGCAAGACCUCAUCCCAAAUUCAGUGCAGGGGGGCUUGGUCCGGUUGAUAUAAAUUUGGCUUUUGAGGAAUAGUAAUUCAUUAGAAAAGUUUAUUGUAACUUGGUAGAGUCUACCAAUGCAGUCAGGCUUUUCGAUAGAUUUGCACAACUAAGGACAUACAAGUAUCAUGGGGGUAUUUUUUGUUUUCUAACUCUAUUUUCGUUUACAGUUACAGCUACCUGAAGACAGAUGAUAGAUGGGAUAUUCCCUAAGACAGAUGAUCUAUUUUCUCAUCAUGUGAUAACUUUGAAUGUUAAGCUUACCACAUUUUCCAUUUAUGGAUACUUUAUCUUUUAA